AUUUCAAGAAAUGGCAGAAGGGACAGACAUCCACCUCAUUGAGCUGGUAAGAAACAGUAAAUACAUAAUGCUGUGAUAGACAGUACAAAAUCAUUUGUGUACAUUUGUUAAAAAUGUCAACUUUGUGAUGAAAAUGUUCACGUCAAACUCCCCCUGUGUGUACAGAUGUUGAAGGUGAAAGCUCACAAUACACUCCUUGAGAUCGAGCAGGGAGUUCGUAGAGAGCUGAGCGUUACCCAAUGCCAACAUCACCAGUCUUCAGUAGAGGUAUAAUCACAUGUCAUAAUUUCCUAGAAUACAGGACACCACUGUUACCAUCCAUACAGACUGUUUAUUAUGAUUAGGACACCUGCAGUUCAUAAGGAACUCUAUCAACUAAUGUCUCAUUUAUUUCUUCCAUUCCAAGGCAACCAUGGAGGGGCAGCAGCUCCUGACCAACAAGCCCAAGCCACUGGUUCCUUCCCAUGAGCCUCUGGGGACUACAGCUGUGAUGAGUGGUGAUGUUGGAGGUGGUCUGUCAGACAAACAGGCCCAACCUGAGGUCAGGUCAGAGGAGAUGCUCCAGAUGAAGCCCCUCUGCCAAACUCCGGUGGGGGUCCGGGGUUGCCUGGUGGACAGUGUGAUUAAUGGAGAAGACCCGGAGAUUAAUGAUGAGGUCCUUGUGGCAGAACCAAUCCCCACUCCCCUCUUAUCCACAGCAGUGAUAGUCAGGGAGGUCCAGGAGUGCCUGGUGGACAAGGUCAGUCUGAGACUUCUAGCAAUACAUUAGUACUAGACCUAAACAUUUAGCAUUUACAUUAAGACAUGCUAUAUACAAGACAUAUGAUAUUGAGUGCUUUAAAGUGUAGUAAAAUCCUUUGAGGGGUAAACAGAGCAAAUUUUACUAAGCCCUUUUCUCUUCCAUAUUAAGGAGAAGACGGUUGAGGUUCUGGACCAGAGCAUUUCUCCAAGGAUCCAAAAGGCCCUCAGAGACAUUGAGGCCAUGGUGAACUCCAGAAAGAAGUCCAAGGUCGUGCCAAAGCAGCUUGUGGUACUUGGUUUCACCAUCAAGCACAUUGUCACUCAGGUGCUGUCUCACUUAUAUCAACCAGCCUUUCAGGAAGAAGUCUGUUUGGAGACAGCUGCUAUUGUGGAUGACACCCAAGCUCUUCUGUGGUCUAUUCCCUGGGUUCAAGUCACAGAGGAGGAGGAGCUGUCUAACUCCCAGUGCAUUGAUACCUCUGAGGUGACCAAGGCUGUCAUUAACACCCUGGAUAAGGUACUAGGCCCCAAACCACUGGUAGGAGCUCUGGGAAUAGGCUCACAGAUAUUGAGCAGGUACAUUGUUCAUCUUGUUGGCCUGUCCAUUGCUAAGACAGUACCUGACGUUUACGCUGCCAACGAAGAGGAGAGACAUAUUAGCCAGGAUAUGGUGAACAUCUGUCCUCUACCUGCUAAAUAUGUCAUCAGUGGAGAAUUAUUAGGUGACUUUGUGGUGAAGUUUAUGCUUCAACUUCACCCAAUGAACAGACUAGGCUCCAAGCAACUCAACCAACAGGCUCUGCUCUUACUGGUGGUUAAAAUGGCCUCAGUAGCUUUUCAUGUCUUGAGGAAGAUCCCGGGUGUUUCCGUGGAUGAACAGCUGUGUGCCCCCAUCUGCAACAUAAGACAGACGGUAUUACACAUGCAGAGUGCCUUGGUCCAUAAGUUUGGCACAACAAUCCAAAUAAAGCAUAUGAUGGCUAAUAAGGACCCGCUAGUCAUUUCCACAAUACCCCAGGCCAUAUGUGAGGGAAUCUUGACUGUAUACAAGGGCAUCUCUGUAACCCAUCCACUUCAAGUCACUGGCCCACAUCGUCCGAUGGCCAAGAGCUAUGAAAAGGCUAUGGAGACAAAGUUGUUUGCAGUAACUUUACCCGAGGCCCUGAAAAAGACCAUCUACCAUCAUUAUGGGUCCCGGGUCGGGAAACUGCCACUUUUUCAGAAAGCAUUUCCACCUCUGACUAGCCAUGACAAGUUUGAAUACAUCCGGCAUGUUACUCCGCCUCACUCCUCCAAAAGAGACACAAUCUGGAUCCAUCCUAAAUACUUCUUUGGGGACGACGAUGAAGAGGAAGAGUCAUCAGAUAACACAGUGCCUAACAACCCUCUGGCUCUAAAUGUCAGCAAGGCUGCUUUUUUAAACCAGUUUCCACUGACCGAUGUAUUUCAAUCCACCAAAACAGACUUCAUUGACCGUAAAACAACCCCUAGGUAUGUGCCAGUCAAGGUCAACGUGCAAACAGGGGUUAUAACAGAUGACUCUGUGGUGGCUAGUAAUAACCCAUUUGAAGUGGAAACACAACAGGAUGAAACACCAGCUGGGCCUAAGCCUGACCCCAAACCAGUAAAACCCCAGAGAAAGCAUUCGGAGAAGAUCAAAGCAUACAUCAAAUCGGGACAGUAUUUGAAAGACAAACGUCUUUAUGAACAGGCCUUAUAUCGCUACAGUGGACAGGCUGUAAGAGACCAGGCUCUGAGAGAGGCAGAGAGAAACAAACCCACGAUUAUUAUUGUUCCUCUGGUUCUAGUCUGGAACGUCUUUAAUUACGCAUUCUUGACCACGCGAUAUGUGCCGUAUGACAGUGGUCUUUGUAAUGAUAUGGUUGAUCACAUCCACAUCAAGAUUCAGAAGGAGGCACUUAAGUACAAGGACCACAGAGUGUUCAAAUCCACUCUGAAGAAUCUUGAAGAGGAUCCAUUGAUGAUGAGCACCUUUGUCUUAAACUGCUGUCAGUCAUUUGUAAUUAAAUACUGGAACAUCGUCCAGGACCAUAUACGAUCGAAAGAACAGCUGCACCCAGACAAACUGUCUCUGCUGGUCUGUGACCUCAUGGUGGGGGAGAUUAUGACUCAUCUGAGGCCUACCUUGACUUUCUCCAAAGACACUAAAGAUGGGGACAACCGGCCGUACUGCAUUAACGUCCCGGUCAAAAGAGAGACCAGCUCUCCAGAUGAUGCAGACAAGACCAAGCUGGAGCUUCGCAUUGAGAAAGCUAGGGCUGACCAAAUGAAGGAACUUCUCGUCCCAUCGGUAAGUUCCACUGUAGUCUGUAUCACAUCAUCCAUUGAUAAUAUCAGUCAGUUUGAAUGUGCUUAGCCCUGUAGUGACCUGCAGCUUGUUUUCUACAGUUUGUUUUACUCAGUACCUCUGUUUGUUGACAGGAACCCAAAGACCACUCAUGGGCGGCUUGGAUGGAAAUGAUGGAGGAGUAUGAGCAGUUUCAUAAGAAGAAAACCUGUUGGGACUGGUUCUGUGGACUGUUUCGCCGGAAGAAAAAGACCACGUUUGAAAAAAGAGUGGAAGAUUUCGAAAAAUACUGUCGCAAGAGCAGUUAGAGUCCGACACACAAACAAACCAAAUGAAUUGAUUCACACACAUUAGACUACCUUUGACAUCAAACCAAAUUAACUGACACAUGCACAUUUUUUACUUAGAAAUCCUCUGACCACAAACAAAUGAACUGAUACACACAUAAAAAAUGUGCCUUCCUCAAACCACACACAAACCAUAUGGAUUUAUACAGUACACACAUUUACAACUUAGUCUUCCUCUGACAACAACCUUUUCCCCUGUUAUUUAUAAAAAUAAAAUUAAAACAAUCCCUAAUGGAGGUUCUCUCUGUUUUUGUGAUGUCUUAAUAAUUAUAAUGUUCAGGUUGAUACUUUAUAGUAUUGUAAUAUUUGACAAACUAUGGAACAUUUUGUCUCAGAUUAGAAUAUAUAGAAUAGCUGCUGUGGAUGGAGUCGAUGCUAUGACAACAUCGAGACAUAUGAGUGCCUGUUAUCACUUAGGAAACAUCAUUGUGUAUUAAACGCCGUCUUUCAACAUGUAAUACUCUAAAUUUCCACAGCUCUAACAAUUUCAACACAGUUGUCGGGGCGUAACCACUGACAAGAAUAAUUAUUCAACAAGCAGGGGUAGAGCAAUAUGAACAAUGAUCUCUAAUGACAUUCGUGACACUGUACUUGACCGUGUUGUUGUUGUACAUGGUACGACAACGAGGGAAG
rnacentral:lncRNA from 1 species